AUGGGUACGAUUUACAAAGCACCUAUCAUACAUGUGCAUUAAGAUUACUGAAUCCAAAACAUCACAACUACGUACAAAUUGGCUGACCAGAAAAAAGGGACCACAGCCACAUUGAACCAAACUCGCCCCAUGUUGGGGCAAGGAUUUGUCCCAUACUAAUUUAUGGAAUAAAAUAUACAGAACAUUGAAUGAGAAGAAAAAA
rnacentral:misc_RNA from 1 species